UUNGCUUUUUCUUUACCGGAGCUUGCUCCCCGAAAGAAAAGGAGUGGCGAACGGGUGAGUAACACGUGGGUAACCUGCCCAUCAGAAGGGGAUAACACUUGGAAACAGGUGCUAAUACCGUAUAACAAUCGAAACCGCAUGGUUUCGGUUUGAAAGGCGCUUUUGCGUCACUGAUGGAUGGACCCGCGGUGCAUUAGCUAGUUGGUGAGGUAACGGCUCACCAAGGCAACGAUGCAUAGCCGACCUGAGAGGGUGAUCGGCCACAUUGGGACUGAGACACGGCCCAAACUCCUACGGGAGGCAGCAGUAGGGAAUCUUCGGCAAUGGACGCAAGUCUGACCGAGCAACGCCGCGUGAGUGAAGAAGGUUUUCGGAUCGUAAAACUCUGUUGUUAGAGAAGAACAAGGAUGAGAGUAGAANGUUCAUCCCUUGACGGUAUCUAACCAGAAAGCCACGGCUAACUACGUGCCAGCAGCCGCGGUNAUAAAA
rnacentral:rRNA from 1 species